rnacentral:rRNA from 1 species
UACGGAGGGGGUUAGCGUUGUUCGGAAUUACUGGGCGUAAAGCGCGCGUAGGCGGACUAUUAAGUCAGGGGUGAAAUCCCGGGGCUCAACCCCGGAACUGCCUUUGAUACUGGUAGUCUUGAGUUCGAGAGAGGUGAGUGGAACUCCGAGUGUAGAGGUGAAAUUCGUAGAUAUUCGGAAGAACACCAGUGGCGAAGGCGGCUCACUGGCCGGACAAGACUG